rnacentral:rRNA from 1 species
AGGGGUCUCCAGCGACGACGGGUAGCCGACCUGAGAGGGUGACCGGCCACACUGGGACUGAGACACGGCCCAGACUCCUACGGGAGGCAGCAGUGGGGAAUAUUGCACAAUGGGCGAAAGCCUGAUGCAGCGACGCCGCGUGAGGGAUGACGGCCUUCGGGUUGUAAACCUCUUUCAGCAGGGACGAAGCGCAAGUGACGGUACCUGCAGAAGAAGCACCGGCUAACUACGUGCCAGCAGCCGCGGUAAUACGUAGGGUGCAAGCGUUGUCCGGAAUUACUGGGCGUAAAGAGUUCGUAGGCGGUUUGUCGCGUCGUUUGUGAAAACCAGCAGCUCAACUGCUGGCUUGCAGGCGAUACGGGCAGACUUGAGUACUGCAGGGGAGACUGGAAUUCCUGGUGUAGCGGUGAAAUGCGCAGAUAUCAGGAGGAACACCGGUGGCGAAGGCGGGUCUCUGGGCAGUAACUGACGCUGAGGAACGAAAGCGUGGGUAGCGAACAGGAUUAGAUACCCUGGUAGUCCACGCCGUAAACGGUGGGCGCUAGGUGUGGGUUCCUUCCACGGAAUCCGUGCCGUAGCUAACGCAUUAAGCGCCCCGCCUGGGGGAGUACGG